UGGUCUUGACAUACAGAGAACUUUCUAGAGAUAGAUUGGUGCCUUUGGGAACUCUGAUACAGGUGCUGCAUGGCUGUCGUCAGCUCGUGUCGUGAGAUGUUGGGUUAAGUCCCGUAACGAGCGCAACCCUUGUCCUUAGUUGCCAUCAUUUAGUUGGGGACUCUAAGGAGACUGCCGGUGACAAACCGGAGGAAGGCGGGGACGACGUCAAGUCAUCAUGGCCCUUACGAGUAGGGCUACACACGUGCUACAAUGGCCGGUACAGAGGGUCGCGAAGCCGCGAGGUGGAGCUAAUCUCACAAAGCCGGUCGUAGUCCGGAUUGGAGUCUGCAACUCGACUCCAUGAAGUCGGAAUCGCUAGUAAUCGUGAAUCAGAAUGUCACGGUGAAUACGUUCCCGGGCCU
rnacentral:rRNA from 1 species